UACAGAGGGGGCAAGCGUUGUUCGGAAUUACUGGGCGUAAAGGGCGCGUAGGCGGCCGCCUAAGUCAGACGUGAAAUCCCCAGGCUUAACCUGGGAACUGCGUCUGAUACUGGGUGGCUUGAGUUCGGGAGAGGAAUGUGGAAUUCCAGGUGUAGCGGUGAAAUGCGUAGAUAUCUGGAGGAACACCGGUGGCGAAGGCGGCAUUCUGGACCGAAACUGACGCUGAGGCGCGAAAGCCAGGGGAGCAAACGGG
rnacentral:rRNA from 1 species